UACCCUAAAGACCAGAGGGCCAUCUUGACACGCUGCCUCAUGUAUUCUCACCAACUGGGUAGCUGCUACCUUACCAAGGUUGAAAAAGGCUUUAUUAUUUUUGGCUUUUUUUUCAUACUCACUGGAGCAUUGACCUGCAGCCAUCCAUUGUGCGUGCCUGUUGCUGCAGCAGGAGAGGCUGUGCUGCUGACCCUAGGAAGCCAGGUGCUCUUUACCCUAGCGUAAUUGAACUGGAAGCUAGUUCCCAUGGCAGCCAGGUCUUCUCACUCACAGAGCUGCAAAGGAGCACUCUGCAUUUAUGCCUUGACUAGUUAAAGCGACAGUUUUCUCUCAGUGGGAAGAACAGCACUAGCUUCACACCCCAGAGUUGUUCCCAUAGGACUGACCCCAUCUGAUGAUGGAGCCAAGAGAAGCUUGCUUACUAAAACUUGGUUUGGUUUUGUUCUGUUUGUUUUUACUAUUAAAGCUCACAUUUUAACAGC